rnacentral:rRNA from 1 species
UCAAAAAGCGGAGGAAAAGAAACUAACAAGGAUUCCCCUAGUAACGGCGAGUGAAGCGGGAAGAGCUCAAAUUUAAAAUCUGGCUUGCUUGCAAGUCCGAGUUGUAGUCUGAAGAAGCGUUUUCCAUGAAAGCUGAGGCACAAGUCCUUUGGAACAGGGCAUCAUAGAGGGUGAGAAUCCCGUCCAUGGUCUCAUGCAUUUCAUUUUGUGAUACGUUUUCUAAGAGUCAGGUUGUUUGGGAAUGCAGCCUAAAAUGGGUGGUAAAUUUCAUCUAAAGCUAAAUAUUGGCGAGAGACCGAUAGCGAACAAGUACCGUGAGGGAAAGAUGAAAAGAACUUUGAAAAGAGAGUUAAAAAGUACGUGAAAUUGUUGAAAGGGAACCGUUUGAAGCCAGUCUUGCUUACUUGUGAUCAAUCUUAGCUUCGGCUUGGAUGCACUCUCAAGUUAUGCAGGUCAACGUCAGUUUGAGAGGUGGGAAAAAAGUUUGAGGAAUGUGGCCUUCGGGUGUUAUAGCCUCUUACUAAAUACCAUCUCCUGGACUGAGGCUCGCAGCAAAAAUGUGGGCUGGUUUGCUCCUGAGGUGAAUCAUUAUUAAGACAGCUUGCUGACUUAGUUUUGUGGAUCUUCACGGUAGGCUAGCUUCUAAUUGCUUAGGUCGU